ensembl:lncRNA
AGACUGUCGUGGGACAGUCGUGAGACAGUCGUGGGACAGUCGUGGGACAGUCGUGGGACAGUCGUGGAACAGUCGUGGAACAGUCGUGAGACUGUCGUGGGACUGUCGUGGAACAGUCGUGAGACUGUCGUGGGACUGUCGUGAGACAGUCGUGAGACAGUCGUGAGACAGUCAUGGGACUGUCGUAGGACAGUCGUGAGACAGUCGUGGAACAGUCGUGAGACUGUCGUGAGACUGUCGUGGGACUGUCGUGGGACUUUCUGCGAGACAGUUGUGAGAAGUCUAAGACGGUCGGUGAGACAGUCUUACAGACGUAAGAAAGUUGGUGGGACAGUGUGUGAGGCAGUCGGUGGAACAGUCCGAGACAGCCAUGGGACGAAGGACAGUCGUGAGACAGUCAUGGGACUGUCGUAGGACAGUCGUGAGACAGUCAUGGGACUGUCUGCGAGACAGAUUUCCGGCGGAACAGAGCCCCACCCUCCCCCAUCACCCUGUGUGACUCCCCCGUCACUAUUGUGGAUUCCUUCCGUUUCCUGGGCUCCAUCAUCACCCAGGACCUCAAGUGGGAGCUGAACAUCAGCUCCAUCACCAAGAAGGCUCAUCAGAGGUUGUUCUUCCUGAGGCAGCUGAAGAAACUCAACCUGCCAAAGACGAUGAUGGUCCACUUCUACACGGCCAUCAUCGAGUCCAUCCUCGGCUCCUCCAUCACCGUCUGGUACGCUGCAGCCACAGCCAAGGACAAGGGCAGGCUUCAGCGGGUCAUCCGCUCUGCAGAGAGGGUGAUCGGCUGCAAUCUGCCGUCCCUGCAGGACUUGUUCGCUUCCAGGUCUCUGAAGCAAGCUAAAAAGAUCGCGGCCGACCCCUCCCACCCCGGACAAAAACUGUUUGUGCCCCUUCCAUCUGGCAGGAGGCUGAGGUCCAUCAGGACUACGACCUCCCGCCACAAGAACAGUUUCUUCCCGUCGGCAGUCGGGCUCAUCAACAGAGCCCGAUCCCCCACUGCCUGACCAUAACACUCCACCCGUCACUCCCCCUCAUACUGCACAUGCCACUUUAACUGCAAUUCAUCACUUUGUCACUUGUCACUUUGUCUCUUGUCUGUUACUUGUUUGUUAGGGCACUUUAUGCUUAAUAUUUUUCUUUAACUUAAUAUUUCAAUUUUUUUUAACUUUAUUCCCUUGUUUUAUACUAACCCAUAGCCUUAGCCUUAUUCUACUAACCCAUUGCACUAGCAUUUCAUUCUACUUUAUUACUUGUGCACUGUUGUCUUGUCUGUCUACUGUCGCGCACUAACCGCCAAGACAAAUUCCUUGUAUGUUUGACAUAUUUUGGCUAAUAAAUAUUUCCUGAUUCCUGAUUCCUGAAGCCUGUAAGACGGUCGGUGAGACAGUCUUACAAACGAGCUGAAUGAGAUCUACUGCAGAUUCAAUAGACAAUGUCCUGAUCCCAUCCCCCACAGCUCCACCAACCUGCCCCAGUCCCCCACGUUAUGGUCCGGCUCAAAGGCCACAACAAAUAAGAGGAAAUCACGCUCCAGGGAGAACCAGCCAAAGAUGUUUAUUCACCAAACUGAUUAAACAAACAAAACACAGCAAAGGGAAACACUAUUGUGCUGGGGACCAGGAGAACCCCAAGCAGUCAACCCCAAACAAUCAGAAAGGGCAGGUUUUAAUGCACUCAAGAGACAGCGGACAGCUGCGUCGAAUCUGCCUUAUGGCCUCAGCUCCACUCCACCAGGAAGUUUACCCGGUAACACACACACAGACAGACACACCCACAAAUACCCUGGCAGUGGCCCUGGGGCCGUCACACCCACCCCUCCGUCCCCCAGCCCAUCAGGGGCUCACGCCUCUGUAUCACCUUCCCCUCCCCCACGUACCAGCCUGCUUCAAGGCCUCCACCAUCAUCCCUAUUCCCAAGCAGCCCAGGAUCACAGGACUCAAUGACUACAGGCCCACCUCCCUGACCUCUGUAGUCAUGAAGUCUUUUGAACGGCUAGUCCUGUCCCACCUGAAGACCCUCACUGACCCCCUCCUGGACCCCCUGCAGUUCGCCUACAGAAUCAACAGGUCUGUGGACGAUGCUGUCAACAUGGCCCUCAACUACAUCCUCCAGCCUCUGGACUCCCCAGGAACCUACGCCAGGAUCCGGUUUGUGGACUUCAGCUCUGCCUUCAACACCAUCAUCCCGUCUCUGCUGCAGGACAAACUCUCAGCUACACAGACAAAUAACAAAGGAUCCAAACAAAUAAGUAAGGCCUGUCUCUCGUACACAGUUAAAAUAUUUCUUGACCUAGUUAGGAGGCCAAAACAAGGCAAACCCAAACAGGGUUAAUUUAACAAAAGGCAAAGAAACAGGGUUAAUUUAAGCAAAGCAUUGGUCUCUGGCAGGUUAGCGGGUGUAGAGCUGAUGCUCAGUGAUCCAUGCCCGGUCAGGCCGCUUCAGCCAAACAGCGUGGGUCGGAGGGAUCGACGCUACCAUGAGAAUUACCAGCGGCGGACAUUGAGUGCAUCAGGUGGAGAGUAGUAUGCAGCCACACCAGUGAGCUUCUGUCACCACACAGCGCCGCGUGAAAGACGCCUGGCUAAUGAAAUGCAGACAGGUGCUCUGAGGCCGCCUUUGUACCGCAUUGUCAUGCAGCGAUUGGCUGUGAUCCAGACCCAGCUGAAAGUUAUUAGGACCAAUCACUGCAUACUGCCACACAAGCCCAAAAGAUCGUAGCCGACCCCUCUCACCCCAGACAAAACCUGUUUGUGCCCCUUCCAUCUGGAAGGAGGCUGAGGUCCCUUCAGGGCUAAGACCUCCCGCCACACGAACAGUUUCUUCCCUUCGGCAGUCGGGCUCAUCAACAGAGCCCGGUCAUCCACUGACUGACUCUGACAUUCCUCUGGUCACUUUCUUUUAAAAUUCAUAUUUUUAAAUCUAACUUUAUUCUUUUAUUUUAAACUAACCCAUAUAAUAAAAUGCUAAUGCUAUGGGGUAGUUAACAUUAGCAUUUUAUUUUAUUACGCGUGCACUGCUAGUUUGUCUAUUGUCAUACUGUCUACUGUCACGCACCAACCGCCAAGUCACAUUCCUUGUAUGUAUGACAUAUUUUGGCGAUAAAUGUCAAUGACACCUCCAAUCUACAGCAGAACCUGGCAUAUCAGGAGAUUGGAGCUACUUAGGCUCUACCACCACCACCAGUGUCUGGACUCCCAAAGGGGGGAUAUGCCUCAUCUCAGCAUCCUGGCCCCUGCGGCAGGAUGGAGUCCAAGCCCCAAACAACUUUGCAAUAUAAGUAUUUAUGCCUGUUAUAAUAAAGCAUUGUUAAAAUUUCAAGAA